GGGAAACACGUUCAGUCUAUAACACCUGAGUCUCAAAGAAUCAUGAAAGAUGGAAACUCACGGCAGCGUGGUUUUGCUGACAGACCAAGUUAACAUAGACCCCAGGGGAAUCUCUCCCAUCGGACCAGAGUCCCACAGAACAAUAUUUCAUUGCAAAAAUUUCAUCCUCUGGCAAGACCCAAGACAUUUUGUGUGACCUUAAUAGGAAUUUAAGCUUGCUUUAGCCCACGUCAUUUGUAAUCGUCAGAACGACACGAACGUGGACAUAUUGAGAUGCAUGGCCCCACUGUGCAUGAAGUCUGAAGGUCGUCAGAAGAGAGGAGGAGUCGAGGACAUCAGGGACACUCCUGUACCUGAAGAGGAUUCUGAUAGAGCUCAAGCAUCAGGUGAGGAGGCGUAGCAUCGUUACAGCCUGAGAAAGGAAUUGGAAACAGUGGCCUGGAGAAAGAGAGGAUAAUGAAUAGGUUGCGGUUCGAAAGAGGCAUCAGAAUGCCAGGCCUGCCAUCGUCAACCCCGUGGUACACCCCAAAAUAAAAGAAAAUGCAUUCUUG